GAUGCGAGAUUUGAUUGGAUUCAAUGUUCAAAUAUAUAAGGAUGCUAUUGGAAGUGGUCAAGUGGAUAUUUUCGGAAUUAGCAGACUGCAAAAAUUUAUGAUGCUUAGCCUCUUGACUCCUGAUUUGACUCCUGAUUUGUUUGGUCUGCACAGUUUAAUAUCUGCCUCCGUCUGUUCUGAUCAGUUCCUUCUGUUUUCCAGCCACUUAAAUUUAUAUAUGGAUGCCUAGGAAAUCUUUUGAGCUCCAACAAUUGAAAUUAUAAGGAGGCUUCUAGUGCUGUCUACUUAUCAACAACAGUUCUUGCAGUUGUGCUGAGAUACAAUUUCCAACCAUUGUUGGUGCUCCUAUGUCUACUUAUCAACAACAGUUCUUGCAGUUGUGCUGAGAUACAAUUUCCAACCAUUGUUGGUGCUCCUAUGUGCAUGCUCUCCCCUAAGCCAGGCCUAUCCCUAUCCCAUUCUCCAUUUAAUUUACCUUGAUAAGUUCAGUCUGAUACAUCUUCA
rnacentral:lncRNA from 1 species